rnacentral:siRNA from 1 species
AGAGUCAAAGUAACGGGUGUUA